rnacentral:rRNA from 1 species
UGGGGAAUAUUGCACAAUGGGCGCAAGCCUGAUGCAGCCAUGCCGCGUGUGUGAAGAAGGCCUUCGGGUUGUAAAGCACUUUCAGCGAGGAGGAAGGGUGGUGAGCUUAAUACGCUCAUCAAUUGACGUUACUCGCAGAAGAAGCACCGGCUAACUCCGUGCCAGCAGCCGCGGUAAUACGGAGGGUGCAAGCGUUAAUCGGAAUUACUGGGCGUAAAGCGCACGUAGGCGGUUUGUUAAGUCAGAUGUGAAAUCCCCGGGCUCAACCUGGGAACUGCAUUUGAAACUGGCAAGCUAGAGUCUCGUAGAGGGGGGUAGAAUUCCAGGUGUAGCGGUGAAAUGCGUAGAGAUCUGGAGGAAUACCGGU